AACGAACGCUGGCGGCAGGCCUAAAACAUGCAAGUUGAACGGUUGUAGCAAUACAACGAGUAGCGGACGGGUGAGUAAUGUAUGGGAACAUGUCCUUUAGUGGGGAAUAGCUUCUGGAAACGGGAGGUAAUACCGCAUAAGACCUGAGGGUGAAAGCAUUUAUGCGCUAAAGGGUUGGCCCAUAUCAGAUUAGCUAGUUGGUUAGGUAAAAGCUGACCAAGGCGACGAUCUGUAGCUGGUUUGAGAGGAUGAUCAGCCACAUUGGGACUGAGACACGGCCCAAACUCCUACGGGAGGCAGCAGUUAGGAAUAUUGGACAAUGGGGGCAACCCUGAUCCAGCCAUGCCGCGUGAGUGAAGAAGGCC
rnacentral:rRNA from 1 species